rnacentral:rRNA from 1 species
CCCUUAGAUGUUCUGGGCCGCACGCGCGCUACACUGACUGACUCAACGAGUGUACAACCUGCUUCGACAGAAGUGGGUAAUCUUUUGAAAUUCAGUCGUGAUGGGGCUAGAUUAUUGCAACUAUUAAUCUUCAACGAGGAAUGCCUAGUAAGCGCGAAUCAUCAGUUCGCGUUGAUUACGUCCCUGCCCUUUGUACACACCGCCCGUCGCUCCUACCGAUUGAAUGGUCCGGUGAGGCCUUGGGAGGGCUAAGUGGGCUGUGUUUCACAGACUACCUGGCCCGAACCUGGUCAAACCUUAUCACUUAGAGGAAGGAGAAGUCGUANCA